ACUAUAUUACAUGGAUUAUUGUGAGUGGGUAGACUAUAUACAUGGAUUAUGUGAUGGUGUAGUAGCUAUAUUACAUGGAUUUAUUGUGAUGUGUAGGUAGACUAUAUUACAUGGAUUUAUUGUGAUGGUGUAGACUAUAUUACAUGGAUUUAUUGUGAUGGUGUAGGUAGCUCUAUUACAUGGAUUAUUGUGAUGGUUAGACUAAUUACAUGGAUUAUUGUGA
rnacentral:lncRNA from 1 species